AAGGCGAGGACGCCAUAGGAUAAAGACUUACGGAUGAGGGGUCUGGAGCGCCAGGAGGCGAAGACCGGGAUUUUAAGGAUAAUGAACGUCUGGAGACGUUUUCACAGGGACAGGGAUUUAAUCAGGGACGGUUUACCGCUAAAGGAUAGACAGGGCAGGUUGCGAGCAAACACGGAUGGUUCAGCCCGUUUCGGGUGGUGGGUCAAGAAAAAAGGCGACAGAUUACUCUGUCGCCUUUUUUCUUUGCUUGCUU
rnacentral:sRNA from 1 species